AACCCUAGAAAACUAAGCUGGGUCCAUUUGGACCCCCCAAUUUGCGCGUCAAAUUUCCCGGUCAAUGCCCAUCUUAUCCACAAUACAUUGCUUGUUUAUACGGCCAUUUUCUCAUCACUUGGACCUCAGCGGUCGUGGCUGGUGGAUGGUGUGUUGAACACCUGUCACGUGAAAAGCAGGUGUUGUGAGACAAGCAGGGAAGCAGUGCUGUUGAUCAGGAGCCAGUGCUACACCUCCUGUGAUCGAGGGAGUGCUGUUGCACGGCUGCAGUGCUUCGACUUGUUCGAGGAACAACCUGAUCGAGUAGGAGAAGGCCCCAAAAUCAAAAAGAGGUGCUCACUCUGGAAAUAUCAGAAGAACAUGGCAAAGAUCCGAACUGUGUGUGGCUACUGCAAGAGACCUGCAUGUGCCAAACACAUCACAUAUCAGUGUGAUGAUUGCAGAUUCUAAAAGAUCACACUCAAGAAAGGACCAUGGUGGGCUGCUUUGGGCAGAUAUAACUUCAGCAACUGUCCAACUAAAGGGAAUAAGUAGUUACUAAGCUCAAAAUUAGUUAUUAUAUUUUUCUCAUAAUAUUUUUGCAAACUAUGUGAAAUUUCGGAAAAUUUACAUUUUUAAUUUUGCUACAAUAAAAAUAUGGCAUAUUUUUCUUUA